UUAGGAUUCGACAGGGAUAGAUUGAGCUCAGGUUGCGCGUCGAGGUUACGGCUCGUAAAACGUUACUCGCCUAAAUAUAACUGGCAAAAAUAAUCAACCUGCUUUAGCAGCUGCGUAAGUAGUUCUAAAGCGAUCCUUCCUGCAUUCGCCCGUGAUGCAGAUUGAAGGGUCUCAAAUGAAGCGGGCUACACUGCCAUCCACCGUCUGAGGAUGGUAGUUGAAACCAAUCAGACUAGCUGCAUGGAGGCCUGUUGGUAGGCCGAUAUGACAGCGAAUGAUAAUAUACCAACUACACGUGUAGAAGCCUGAGUGGCAAUAUCUCUGGACGUGGGUUCGAUUA
rnacentral:tmRNA from 2 species